rnacentral:piRNA from 1 species
UACAAUUUGUUCAGAGACAACCUUGGC